GGAGCAUGCGGCUUAAUUCGACGCAACGCGAAGAACCUUACCAAGGCUUGACAUAUACAGGAAUAUGGCAGAAAUGUCAUAGCCGCAAGGUCUGUAUACAGGUGGUGCAUGGUUGUCGUCAGCUCGUGUCGUGAGAUGUUGGGUUAAGUCCCGCAACGAGCGCAACCCUCGUUCUGUGUUGCCAGCAUUUAGUUGGGGACUCACAGGAGACUGCCGGGGUUAACUCGGAGGAAGGUGGGGAUGACGUCAAAUCAUCAUGCCCCUUAUGUCUUGGGCUGCACGCAUGCUACAAUGGCUGGUACAAACGGCUGCGAUACCGCAAGGUGGAGCGAAUCCGAUAAAGCCAGUCUCAGUUCGGAUUGGGGUCUGCAACUCGACCCCAUGAAGUCGGAGUUGCUAGUAAUCGUAGAUCAGCAACGCUACGGUGAAUACGUUCCCGGGGCUUGUACACACCGCCCGUCACGUCACGAAAGUCGGUAACACC
rnacentral:rRNA from 1 species